CAGUCGCCGCGGGAAUACGGAGGGGGCUAGCGUUGUUCGGAAUUACUGGGCGUAAAGCGCACGUAGGCGGCUUGGUAAGUUAGAGGUGAAAGCCUGGAGCUCAACUCCAGAAUUGCCUUUAAGACUGCCGAGCUAGCAGGUGAGAGAGGUAAGUGGAAUUCCAAGUGUAGAGGUGAAAUUCGUAGAUAUUCGGAAGAACACCAGUGGCGAAGGCGGCUUACUGGCUCAUACUGGACGCUGAGGUGCGAAAGCGUGGGGAGCAAACAGGAUUAGAUACCCGCGUAGUCCCUGUCUCUUAUAC
rnacentral:rRNA from 1 species